UCCCUAGUAGCUCAUCCAGUAAAGCAUCCGCCUACAAUGCAGGAGACCCAGGUUCUAUCCCUGGGUUGGGAA
rnacentral:tRNA from 1 species